rnacentral:rRNA from 1 species
GUUACAGGUGUUGCAUGGCUGUCGUCAGCUCGUGUCGUGAGAUGUUCGGUUAAGUCCGCUAACGAGCGCAACCCGCGUUGUGUGUUAUAUGUGUCACACAAUACCGCCGGUAUUAAGCCGGAGGAAAGGUGCGGAUGACGUCAAGUCAGCAUGACCUUUAUAUCCAGGGCUACACACACGCUACAAUGGACAGUACAACAGGUUGCCAAGCCGCGAGGCGGAGCCAAUCCUCUAAAGCUGUCCUCAGUUCAGAUUGCAGGCUGCAACUCGCCUGCAUGAAGUUGGAGUUGCUAGUAACCGCAGGUCAGCUAUACUGCGGUGAAUACGUUCCCGGGGAUU